rnacentral:tRNA from 1 species
GGAGGGCUCGCAUAGUGGACUAGUGCAGCGGUCUUGAAAACCGCCAGGUCGGCGACCCCGGCCUCGUGGGUUCAAAUCCCACGCCCUCCGC